rnacentral:rRNA from 1 species
UACAGAGUUCCUGCCCUCACGGGUAGAAACCCCACCCUUGUGUAUAUUAUAUUGUUGCUUUAGCAGGUCGCCCUCUGGGCGUCGGCCUCGGCUGACUGUGCCUGCUAGAGGACCCUAAAUUUUGAAAUACAGUGUCGUCUGAGUACUAUUUAAUAGUUAAAACUUUCAACAACGGAUCUCUUGGUUCUGGCAUCGAUGAAGAACGCAGCGAAAUGCGAUAAGUAAUGUGAAUUGCAGAAUUCAGUGAAUCAUCGAAUCUUUGAACGCACAUUGCGCCCCUUGGUAUUCCGGGGGGCAUGCCUGUUCGAGCGUCAUUUAGACCAACUCCCGCUCCGGCGGGGUCUUGGGCUGCGCCUUUGGGCGGGCCUUAAAACCAGUGGCGGUGCCCUAAGGCUCUACGCGUAGUAAUUCUUCUCGCGAUAGGGUCCUUGCGGUGUCUUGCCAGCAACCCCCAACUCUCUAGGGUUGACCUCGGAUCAGGUAGGGAUACCCGCUGAACUUAA